rnacentral:tRNA from 1 species
GGGAGAGCAGUUAAUGAUUAACAUUUAAAUUGCAAUUAAAAGACGCUAUAAUAUUUAGCCUUUCUCA